UCUGCUUAACACAUGCAAGUCGAACGCAACCUUCGGGUUGAGUGGCGGACGGGUGAGUAACGCGUGAGAAUCUGCCUUGGGGUCGGGGACAACCACUGGAAACGGUGGCUAAUACCGGAUAAGCCUUUGGGUAAAAGAUUUAUUGCCCCAAGAGGAGCUCGCGUCUGAUUAGCUAGUUGGUGAGGUAAGAGCUCACCAAGGCAGCGAUCAGUAGCUGGUCUGAGAGGACGAUCAGCCACACUGGGACUGAGACACGGCCCAGACUCCUACGGGAGGCAGCAGUGGGGAAUUUUCCGCAAUGGGCGAAAGCCUGACGGAGCAAGACCGCGUGAGGGAGGAAGGCUCUUGGGUUGUAAACCUCUUUUCUCAGGGAAGAAGCUCUGACGGUACCUGAGGAAUCAGCCUCGGCUAACUCCGUGCCAGCAGCCGCGGUAAUACGGAGGAGGCAAGCGUUAUCCGGAAUUAUUGGGCGUAAAGCGUCCGCAGGUGGCGAUUCAAGUCUGCUGUCAAGGCACGGGGCUUAACUCCGUUAAGGCAGUGGAAACUGAAUAGCUAGAGUGCCGUAGGGGUAGAGGGAAUUCCCGGUGUAGCGGUGAAAUGCGUAGAGAUCGGGAAGAACAUCGGUGGCGAAAGCGCUCUACUGGACGGCAACUGACACUCAGGGACGAAAGCUAGGGGAGCGAAUGGGAUUAGAUACCCCAGUAGUCCUAGCUGUAAACGAUGGAUACUAGGUGUAGCUUGUAUCGACCCGAGCUGUGCCGAAGCUAACGCGUUAAGUAUCCCGCCUGGGGAGUACGCACGCGAGUGUGAAACUCAAAGGAAUUGACGGGGGCCCGCACAAGCGGGUGGAGUAUGUGGUUUAAUUCGAUGCAACGCGAAGAACCUUACCAGGGCAUUGACAUGUCCGGAAUCCCGGUGAAAGCUGGGAGUGCCUUCGGGAGCAGGAACACAGGUGGUGCAUGGCUAUCGUCAGCUCGUGAUCGUGAGAUGUUGGGUUAAGUCCCGCAACGAGCGCAACCCUCGUCUU
rnacentral:rRNA from 1 species